ACGGAAGGCAGCAGUGGGGAAUAUUGCACAAUGGGGGAAACCCUGAUGCAGCGACGCCGCGUGAGUGAAGAAGUAUUUCGGUAUGUAAAGCUCUAUCAGCAGGGAAGAUAAUGACAGUACCUGACUAAGAAGCUCCGGCUAAAUACGUGCCAGCAGCCGCGGUAAUACGUAUGGAGCAAGCGUUAUCCGGAUUUACUGGGUGUAAAGGGAGCGUAGACGGUAUGGCAAGUCAGAUGUGAAAGCCCGGGGCUCAACCCCGGAACUGCAUUUGAAACUGUCAGACUAGAGUGCUGGAGAGGUAAGUGGAAUUCCUAGUGUAGCGGUGAAAUGCGUAGAUAUUAGGAGGAACACCAGUGGCGAAGGCGGCUUACUGGACAGUAACUGACGUUGAGGCUCGAAAGCGUGGGGAGCAAACAGGAUUAGAUACCCUGGUA
rnacentral:rRNA from 1 species